CUUCUUCCCCCAACCCCGGCGGCUCCCGGCCGCCUCGGGCUUGGCGUGCCUCGCGGAAAAAGGGGGAAGGGAAGCGGGACGGGCCCGCAGCUGCCGUGGUAGAGAGGCUCGCAGGCUUGCAGGACCAUGCAGCCUGCUCCCCAAAUUGCACAAAACAGCCGUCGUGAGAAGUAGGAAGUUUCCCCGCCUCGGGUCGCAGCUUCUCUCGGAGCCUCGUGAAACAACGACCCCCACCAGCAGCAGCAGCGCCCGCUUUGCCCCGGCUCCGGAGCGCUGUUUACCUAAUCUCAGCGGCUGACCGAGCCCAGCAGAAUGCGAAAGGGAGGCAGCGGUGGUACAGCAGCGUCCCCGGCGAAGAAGUAAAAGACGUUUGCUUUGGAGCUUCGGGAUAAGUUAACUGCGAAGCUGGGGUCCUGCUGUCUUACCUCUGCGGCGAUGAGCCUCACCGUGCACGUUGGCAGGCAUAGCAGAUUCUGUUUCUGAUGCCAUUACCGUGUCGGAGAAGAACAUUAUAUGAAAAAAUACUAUCUAAUAUCCUAGAGACCAUUAAAGUGUCAAAGUUUAAUGCCAAGUCUUUUAGCUCGAAGGCUGCUCAGUUCUUCCUCUGACGUGCAGCUCUGUUCCAGAACGCGCUGAAAACAAGGGGAUCAUUUUUAUUUUUUUGCCGCCCGAAUGUCCUUCCUUCCUACUCUCUUCCUCCUCUCUCACCCCUACCCCCUCCCCGGAACCGGGUAAAGUUAAAGGGAGAAUUUGUACUUUCUUUUUACGUUUUGCUUUGCUUCACUUCAUUAGUGGUGUAAAAUGCAUUAUUACAGCACAUUAGCAUAUUAAUAAAGGUAACGUGACUGAGGAAAGGAAAAGACCUGAAAUUUACAAGCGAAGGAGAAAUAGUUGAAUAACAUCAGAAACUAAAAGAUAAGCUUCCGGGAAAGAAACAUCUCCAUUAUAAUGACUCAAGUGUAGUACAUUCUCUAGAUGGAAUCUAAGAAAGAAAAAUGUGACCAUGGUGUGGGAGCUAGCAAUGUUCACGCUGGUCAGUAAGGCACGUUGAAGACAUAAUGCCUUAUUAGUGGAUUUCACAAAGUGUACUUGCAUUGGUCAAUAAGCACCUUAAAUGUGGAAAAGCUUUGUUUUAUCAAAUCAAGGUUGCAAGUGCCUGCAGUCAGUGGCAUAGCUAAUGCUCUAAAUGAUAUUAAUGUUGUCAGACUGAAAUGUGCCACAUACUGAGUCCUCUGGUUAGUACAUCAAGCCCCAGGUUUAAAGUAUUACGUUGGAAAAUUGUAAAGCUCCUCAACUCCCCAGUCCAAGCAACUAAAUAUGUAUAUACAUAUACAUGGAAACCCUGAAGUAGGAUGUAGUUACCAGGAAUUAUAGCCUUUUGACACAACCAAGAUACAAAUGUCUUAAAAGGAUUUCCGCUACGAUAUAGUAUGAGAAUGCAG
rnacentral:lncRNA from 1 species